CAGACUGACUAACCUCCAGAACACAAACACUACAUGGCUUCUCUCAUAUGUGGUUCCUGUAUUUUAACAUGGACCCAGCAGAGGAUUUUUGCUUGAUAUCUGCCUACAGUCACAUGAAAUUCAUUUUCCCAGUUGUUCACAAGGAAGUGAUUAAUGAUGAACUGGAAAAUCACCACUCAGGAAGCCUGCUCUUUACAACUUUGGCCUACUUCUUUGGAAAUGGACUCAGAGGAGUCUCGUUUGAAAUGACUGGAAGAAAAUGUCAAUUAUGGCAACCCCUAGGACUUGGGAGAGGAAGAUGCCAAGAACAGAGCUGAGGUAGAAGUUUGGGUUGAACACAAGGAAAAAGUACUUAAGCCGUGAAACGUGCCAUUACAAAAAUGCUAAAUCUGGCAAACCCCGACAAGCUUGCAUAAGGACAACCAGUUAGGACAACGUGAUGGUGUGUGGUGAAUGAAUAGCUUCCUCACCAUGACAUGUUAGACUGGGGGCAGAACACAGCUGAAUAAGAAAAAGAAUGACUGCAAGUAACAGUUAAGAAGAAAGCAAGCUGCUUCAGAGGUAGCACUGGGUUGUGGUUCGUUCUUUCGACUUUCACAACCCUAUCAGCAUGUCUUCUAUGCUGAAGAAUAAUACUGUCUCCUGCAUAGUUUUCUUCCGGAGACAUCUG
rnacentral:lncRNA from 1 species